rnacentral:rRNA from 1 species
CGGCGAACGGGUGAGUAACACGUAAAGAACCUGCCUCAUAGACGGGGACAACUAUUGGAAACGAUAGCUAAUACCGGAUAACAGCAUAAAUCGCAUGAUAUAUGUUUAAAAGUUGAUUUCGGCUAACACUAUGAGAUGGCUUUGCGGUGCAUUAGCUAGUUGGUGGGGUAAAGGCCUACCAAGGCGACGAUGCAUAGCCGACCUGAGAGGGUGAUCGGCCACACUGGGACUGAGACACGGCCCAGACUCCUACGGGAGGCAGCAGUAGGGAAUCUUCCGCAAUGGGCGAAAGCCUGACGGAGCAACGCCGCGUGAGUGAAGAAGGAUUUCGGUUCGUAGAGCUCUGUUGUUAGGGAAGAAUGAUUGUAUAGUAACUAUAUACAGUAGAGACGGUACCUAACCAGAAAGCCACGGCUAACUACGUGCCAGCAGCCGCGGUAAUACGUAGGUGGCAAGCGUUGUCCGGAAUUAUUGGGCGUAAAGCGCGCGCAGGUGGUUUAAUAAGUCUGAUGUGAAAGCCCACGGCUCAACCGUGGAGGGUCAUUGGAAACUGUUAAACUUGAGUGCAGGAGAGAAAAGUGGAAUUCCUAGUGUAGCGGUGAAAUGCGUAGAGAUUAGGAGGAACACCA